CUCCCAUGCACCUUUAUCUCAUAUCAGAGAAACUCAAGGGAGAAACAGCCUUCAGGAUCCUCAGCCUGGCCGAUAUCCCUCCUCUCCCAGCUCCCCCCACCCCACCCCAAAGCUGCCUUACCAAGGAGAUGCACAUGAGAUCAGAGAAAGGAAGUGUUGGAAGCCUCAUCAUCAUGGGCACCGGCCUGGUGUACUGCUGA
rnacentral:lncRNA from 1 species